GGCAGUGUGGCAUAGUGGUUAUGGAGCAGGGCUCUUAAGCAAAAGGUUGGUGGUUCGAUUCCCUGCAGGGGCA